rnacentral:lncRNA from 1 species
CCCCGUUGGUGUUAACUUUUGUCAGCUCUUCUUGAGUUGGUUUUUAAUAGGUCUUUUGAUCGUUAAUUUAUUUCUCUUAUUAUAAAUGUAUUUUAUAAAUGGGUACUCUUUUUCUUGUUUAGAUGUUUUAUUCACUGUUUUGAUGAAACUGAACCUUUAAUCUAGGCUUGUGCUUUUGAGGGUUUAAGAGCUUUUUUUUAUUUUUUCUAUUUCCUUCCAUAAAAUCUUAUUUCAUUAGGGUUUAAGGUUUAUGAAGAAAAUCUCUAGUACUUGAUAAUUAUUUAAAAUAGUGAUGAUAGUUUGUGGCUCGACUAACUAAAUAGCUCAAUAAUCAUAAAGGUUUUAUAGUUUUGGCUUUCUUUUUUACUCAAACGUCUUAAGGAUUAAUUUAAAAAUAUUGAUUUUAAUCAUACUGCGUUAAAUCUAUAUUUGGGUAAUCAAUUUGGAAUUAUACUU